AUUGAACGCUGGCGGCAGGCUUAACACAUGCAAGUCGAGCGAGCGGCGGACGGGUGAGUAAUGUCUGGGGAACUGCCUGAUGGCGGGGGAUAACUACUGGAAACGGUAGCUAAUACCGCAUACCAUCAGAUGUGCCCAGAUGGGAUUAGCUAGUAGGUGGGGUAACGGCUUACCUAGGCGACGAUCCCUAGCUGGUCUGAGAGGAUGACCAGCCACACUGGAACUGAGACACGGCCCAGACGCCUACGGGAGGCAGCAGUGGGGAAUAUUGCACAAUGGGCGCAAGCCUGAUGCAGCCAUGCCGCGUGUAUGAAGAAGGCCUUCGGGUUGUAAAGCACUUUCAGCGGGGAGGCGUUACUCGCAGAAGAAGCACCGGCUAACUCCGUGCCAGCAGCCGCGGUAAUAC
rnacentral:rRNA from 1 species